rnacentral:rRNA from 1 species
UACGUAGGGGGCAAGCGUUGUUCGGAAUCACUGGGCGUAAAGGGUGCGUAGGCGGCGGAGUAAGUCGGAUGUGAAAUUUGAGGGCUUAACCCUCAACGUGCAUCUGAUACUGCUUUGCUAGAGGCCUGAAGAGGAGCUUGGAAUUCUUGGUGUAGCAGUGAAAUGCGUAGAGAUGUGGAGGAAUACCGAUGGCGAAGGCAGCCCCCUGGGAUAACACUGACGCUCAUGCACGAAAGCGUGGGGAGCAAACAGG